AGGACGAACGCUGGCGGCGUGCCUAACACAUGCAAGUCGAACGAGGUCCAAGCAGUGGCAACACUGUGGAAGACCUAGUGGCGAACGGGUGAGUAACACGUGAGGAACUUGCCCCGGAGACCGGGAUAACUCUUCGAAAGGAGAGCUAAUACCGGAUGUCCUCACCGAAUCGCAUGGUUUGGUGAGGAAAUGGAUUCCGCUCCGGGAGAGCCUCGCGGCCUAUCAGCUAGUUGGUGGGGUAACGGCCACCAAGGCAUCGACGGGUAGCUGGUCUGAGAGGACGAUCAGCCACACUGGGACUGAGACACGGCCCAGACUCCUACGGGAGGCAGCAGUGGGGAAUCUUGCGCAAUGGGCGAAAGCCUGACGCAGCAACGCCGCGUGCGGGAUGACGCCCGUCGGGUGUAAACCGCUUUCCGAGUGGGACGAACAACGCGGUACCCACAGAAGAAGCCCCGACAACACGUGCCAGCACGCCGC
rnacentral:rRNA from 1 species